GGAAGUAUGGCUGCUGCCCAAUGCCCAACGCCACCUGCUGCUCCGAUCACCUGCACUGCUGCCCCCAAGACACUGUGUGUGACCUGGUCCAGAUGGGGGAUGUGAAAUGUGACAUGGAGGUGAGCUGCCCAGAUGGCUAUACCUGCUGCCGUCUACAGUCAGGGGCCUGGGGCUGCUGCCCUUUUACCCAGGCUGUGUGCUGUGAGGACCACAUACACUGCUGUCCCGCGGGGUUUACGUGUGACACGCAGAAGGGUACCUGUGAACAGGGGCCCCACCAGGUGCCCUGGAUGGAGAAGGCCCCAGCUCACCUCAGCCUGCCAGACCCACAAGCCUUGAAGAGAGAUGUCCCCUGUGAUAAUGUCAGCAGCUGUCCCUCCUCCGAUACCUGCUGCCAACUCAUGUCUGGGGAGUGGGGCUGCUGUCCAAUCCCAGAG
rnacentral:sRNA from 1 species